rnacentral:rRNA from 1 species
UAGGGAAUCUUCGGCAAUGGACGAAAGUCUGACCGAGCAACGCCGCGUGAGUGAAGAAGGUUUUCGGAUCGUAAAACUCUGUUGUUAGAGAAGAACAAGGACGUUAGUAACUGAACGUCCCCUGACGGUAUCUAACCAGAAAGCCACGGCUAACUACGUGCCAGCAGCCGCGGUAAUACGUAGGUGGCAAGCGUUGUCCGGAUUUAUUGGGCGUAAAGCGAGCGCAGGCGGUUUCUGAAGUCUGAUGUGAAAGCCCCCGGCUCAACCGGGGAGGGUCAUUGGAAACUGGGGGACUUGAGUGCAGAAGAGGAGAGUGGAAUUCCAUGUGUAGCGGUGAAAUGCGUAGAUAUAUGGAGGAACACCAGUGGCGAAGGCGGCUCUCUGGUCUGUAACUGACGCUGAGGCUCGAAAGCGUGGGGAGCAAACAGG